rnacentral:rRNA from 1 species
UAAGCGGAGGAAAAGAAACUAACAAGGAUUCCCCUAGUAACUGCGAGUGAAGCGGGAAAAGCUCAAAUUUAAAAUCUGGUGGCCUUUGUCCAUNCGAGUUGUAAUUUAGAGAAGCGUCNUNCGCGCUGGACCGUGCACAAGUCUCCUGGAAUGGAGCGUCGUAGAGGGUGAGAAUCCCGUCUUUGGCACGGACAUACCAGGGCUUCUGUGAUGCGCUCUCAAAGAGUCGAGUUGUUUGGGAAUGCAGCUCAAAAUGGGUGGUGAACUCCAUCUAAAGCUAAAUAUUGGCGAGAGACCGAUAGCGAACAAGUACCGUGAGGGAAAGAUGAAAAGCACUUUGGAAAGAGAGUGGAACAGUACGUGAAAUUGUUGAAAGGGAAACGCUUGAAGUCAGUCGCGUCGGCCGAGACUCAGCCUUGCCUCGGCUCGGUGUACUUCUCAGUCGACGGGUCAGCAUCAAUUUUGCCCCUUGGAUAAUGGCGAGGGAAAUGUGACACCUUCGCAGGUGUGUUAUAGUCUCUCGUCGCAUGCAAGGGUCGGGAUUGAGGAACUCAGCACGCGCCUUCGGGCGUCGGGGUUUUGCCCACGAUACGUGCUUAGGAUGUUGGCGUAAUGGCUUUAAACGACC